UGGGGAAUUUUGGACAAUGGGCGAAAGCCUGAUCCAGCAAUGCCGCGUGUGUGAAGAAGGCCUUCGGGUUGUAAAGCACUUUUGUCCGGAAAGAAAUCCUUGGCUCUAAUACAGUCGGGGGAUGACGGUACCGGAAGAAUAAGCACCGGCUAACUACGUGCCAGCAGCCGCGGUAAUACGUAGGGUGCAAGCGUUAAUCGGAAUUACUGGGCGUAAAGCGUGCGCAGGCGGUUUGCUAAGACCGAUGUGAAAUCCCCGGGCUCAACCUGGGAACUGCAUUGGUGACUGGCAGGCUAGAGUAUGGCAGAGGGGGGUAGAAUUCCACGUGUAGCAGUGAAAUGCGUAGAGAUGUGGAGGAAUACCGAUGGCGAAGGCAGCCCCCUGGGCCAAUACUGACGCUCAUGCACGAAAGCGUGGGGGAGCAAAACAGGAUUAGAUACCCUGGUAGUCCACGCCCUAAAACGAUGUCAACUAGUUGUUGGGGAUUCAUUUCCUUAGUAACGUAGCUAACGCGUGAAGUUGACCGCCUGGGGAGUACGGUCGC
rnacentral:rRNA from 1 species